ACACACCACGCGCGCAUGCAUGUCCGAGCUAUUCCAUCCCCAGCAGCAAAAUGUGGGAGGAAAAAAAAAAAUUGUCAGAAUGAGUAGAGCAAAGUUUCAGGAAAUAAAACCAGCAUGCAAAAAUCAGUCGCAUUUGUUCCCUGCCUGGCCUCCGCCUCCGCCCCCGCCUUGGCCUCCACUUCCCUCUGCUGGGCGAUGGCCGCAAUUGCCCCUCCCUGGUUGGGUUAGCCGCUGCAGAGGCGCUGUGGCCACCGCCCAGCGCGGGAGACGGGAUCCGAAAGAAAUAAACCAGAAUGAGUUAUGUAGAAGAGCCUGAUGAAAUCAGGAAAGAUGAGUGGAUGGAAAAGCUCAACAACUGACACAUCCAGCGGGCCGACAUGAAUCGCCUCAUCAUUAACUACUUGGUCACAGAUGGCUUUAAGGAAGCAGCAGAGAACUGUCGCCUAGAAUCUGGGAUUGAACCCAGUGUGGAUCCGGAUACUCUUGAUGAGAGAAUCAGUAUUCAGGAGUUGAUUCCGGAGGCCACCGCAUUGAUUAACAGUCCCUGUCCGGAGCUCUUGGACACAAACCGUUAACAGCAACAGCGUGUAAUUGAGCUGUUCCGCUAGAGACAGAUCUAGGCGAGCUAGAGGAGAGAGCAGGGGGCAAGGAGAGCAGUGUGCCUUAGGAAGAUGGAGCGCAUGCAGACCCUGCUGGCCUUCUAUAGCCCUGAGGAGGAGUCAAGCUUCGGAGAACUCCUUCAAAAGCAAAAGGUUUGGAGUGAGGUUAAACAAGCUUUUCUAGAUUAUGAAAAUCGCAGGUCAACACCCAAGAUGGCAAAAUUACAGAAACUGUUAUUUUGGGCUCAGAAUGUGCUGGGCCAGAAGAAAAUAAAAUAUCCCAAAAUUAUAGACCUUAGCAAAGGUGUGAUCCAGGAGCCCAAGGAGAGCCUUGCAAGCCAACCCCGCACUGUCCCACGCACCGAACCCACCUUCCUUCCACGGAAACCAAAGACUUCCACUGCAGCAGGAACAUUUUUCCCCUCUUGUAGAUUUCUUUGUUUGUUUGUUUGUUUGACUCAGCAUCUUUCUUAAAAGGAAAAUGGCCCUUUUAAAUGCUGGAAGCUCCACGGUGAAGGGCGCCUUCUGGGAAGGCUGUCUGUCCCUGCACUUGGUGUGUCCUGAGGACCUCCACACCUUGGGUCACAGUCUGGGAGCUCCUGUGUCUGGCUGCCAUAGGGGCUGGGUUCCUAGGGCUGCUGUUAUAACCAGGCCUCCCUGGAGGGACAAAAAAAGCACCCAUCACUUACUUUCUGCUGGCUUGUAGGCAGACAAUCCCUUUGUUAAUUUUCCUAAGUCUUCCUUCAACUUCCAGUUUUUCCUCACACCAUGUUUUUCAUUUGUUUUCGUUUUGUUUUUUUC
rnacentral:lncRNA from 1 species